rnacentral:tRNA from 1 species
GGGGAUUUAGCUCAGUGGUAGAGCACUUGCCUAGCAAGCGCAACACCCUGGGUUCAAUCCUCA